rnacentral:rRNA from 1 species
GGGGGCAUGCAUGGGCGCAGCCUGAUGCAGCGACGCCGCGUGAGGGAUGACGGCCUUCGGGUUGUAAACCUCUUUCAGCCUUGACGAAGCCCGCUUGCGGGUGACGGUAGGGGCAGAAGAAGCACCGGCUAACUACGUGCCAGCAGCCGCGGUAAUACGUAGGGUGCGAGCGUUGUCCGGAAUUAUUGGGCGUAAAGAGCUUGUAGGCGGCUUGUCGCGUCUGCUGUGAAAGCCCGGGGCUUAACCCCGGGUCUGCAGUGGGUACGGGCAGGCUAGAGUGUGGUAGGGGAGACUGGAAUUCCUGGUGUAGCGGUGGAAUGCGCAGAUAUCAGGAGGAACACCGAUGGCGAAGGCAGGUCUCUGGGCCACUACUGACGCUGAGAAGCGAAAGCGUGGGGAGCGAACAGGAUUAGAUACCCUGGUAGUCCACGCCGUAAACGUUGGGCGCUAGGUGUGGGUCCCAUUCCACGGGGUCCGUGCCGCAGCUAACGCAUUAAGCGCCCCGCCUGGGGAGUACGGCCGCAAGGCUAAAACUCAAAGGAAUUGACGGGGGCCCGCACAAGCGGCGGAGCAUGCGGAUUAAUUCGAUGCAACGCGAAGAACCUUACCAAGGCUUGACAUACACCGGACGACUGCAGAGAUGUGGUUUCCCUUUGUGGCUGGUGUACAGGUGGUGCAUGGUUGUCGUCAGCUCGUGUCGUGAGAUGUUGGGUUAAGUCCCGCAACGAGCGCAACCCUCGUUCCAUGUUGCCAGCAACACCUUUUGGGUGGUUGGGGACUCAUGGGAGACUGCCGGGGUCAACUCGGAGGAAGGUGGGGAUGACGUCAAAUCAUCAUGCCCCUUACGUCUUGGGCUUCACGCAUGCUACAAUGGCCGGUACAAAGGGCUGCGAUCCCGUGAGGGGGAGCGAAUCCCAGAAAGCCGGUCUCAGUUCGGAUUGGGGUCUGCAACUCGACCCCAUGAAGUCGGAGUCGCUAGUAAUCGCAGAUCAGCAACGCUGCGGUGAAUACGUUCCCGGGCCCUUGUACACACCCGCCCGUCAAGUCACGAAAGUCGGUUAACACCCGGAAGCCGGUGGCCCAACCCUUGUGAGGGAGCUUGUUCGAAGUGGGACUGGUGAUUGGGACUAAGUCGACAAACAGAGGGUAUACUAC